AAAGACCCAUAUAAGCACUUGUGUGGCUGGGACAAUUGGAUAUCUUGCUCCUGAGUAUGCUAUGCGUGGGCACCUUACAGAGAAAGCAUAUGUGUUUUCCUUUGGCAUUUUGGCCCUAGAGAUAGUUAGUGGGAGGCCAAAUUCUGAUUCAAGCCUGGAAGGGGAGAAGAUAUAUCUCCUUGAAUGGACUUGGCAGCUGCAUGAGAACAACUGUAUAAUUGGACUGGUGGAUCCUAGACUAUCAAAAGAUUUCAAUGAGGAAGAAGUAAA